rnacentral:rRNA from 1 species
GGAUAACCUACCCUUAGGACCGGGAUAACCUUGGGAAACUGAGGAUAAUACUGGAUAGGCAAUUUUUCCUGUAAUGGUUUUUUGUUUAAAUGUUUUUUCGCCUAAGGAUGGGUCUGCGGCCGAUUAGGUAGUUGGUUAGGUAAUGGCUUACCAAGCCUUUGAUCGGUACGGGUUGUGAGAGCAAGAGCCCGGAGAUGGAACCUGAGACAAGGUUCCAGGCCCUACGGGGUGCAGCAGGCGCGAAACCUCCGCAAUGUGAGAAAUCGCGACGGGGGGAUCCCAAGUGCCAUUCUUAACGGGAUGGCUUUUCAUUAGUGUAAAGAGCUUUUGGAAUAAGAGCUGGGCAAGACCGGUGCCAGCCGCCGCGGUAACACCGGCAGCUCUAGUGGUAGCAAUUUUUAUUGGGCCUAAAGCGUCCGUAGCCGGUUUAAUAAGUCUCUGGUGAAAUCCUGUAGCUUAACUAUGGGAAUUGCUGGAGAUACUAUUAGACUUGAGACCGGGAGAGGUUAGAGGUACUCCCAGGGUAGAGGUGAAAUUCUGUAAUCCUGGGAGGACCGCCUGUUGCGAAGGCGUCUAACUGGAACGGUUCUGACGGUGAGGGACGAAAGUUAGGGGCGCGAACCGGAUUAGAUACCCGGGUAGUCCUAACUGUAAACGAUGCGGACUUGGUGUUGGGGUGGCUUUGAGCUGCUUCAGUGCCGAAGGGAAGCUGUUAAGUCCGCCGCCUGGGAAGUACGGUCGCAAGACUGAAACUUAA